AAAAAUUUAGUUAAUAUAAUAACAUUAGUUUGUCAAACUAAAAUAAUUUUAUAAAAAAAUAAUUUUUA
rnacentral:tRNA from 1 species